rfam:Capronia semiimmersa strain CBS 27337 unplaced genomic scaffold supercont1.3, whole genome shotgun sequence.
GCAAUCGACCAUAGGAUGUGUUAAAGCAGGGCUUCCCGUUCGCUCAGCCGUACUUAAGCCACAUGCCGGUUCGUUAGUACUAAGGUGGGUGACCACUUGGGAAUCCGGACUGUUGAUUGUU